rnacentral:rRNA from 1 species
GACGAGUGACUAGCUAACUGAAAUAAUUAUCUCAGACUAAUCUAGUUUGUGAGCUAUUAUAAUCGAGGGAAAAAAAUGAUUGUCCCAUCGAAAUAAGUGUUGUCCAAUACUGGUGCCAGAAGACUCGGUUACACCAGAAAACACAAACGUUAUUCAUCUUUAUCAGGCGUAAAGGGUUUGUAGGCUGCUUUUUUAAUUAAUAAUUGUUAGCAUUGAUAUAUAUUACAUUUUGUAAUUAUAAUCUAAAUUUUUAAUUUAUCAAAAAAAGCUAGAAUCAUAUAGAGGAAAUUCGAAUAAUACUUGGGGUAGGAUUGACAACUGAAAAACUCAAGCGGAAUACUAAAAGGUGAAAGCUUUUUUUCCACUACUGAUUGACGCUGAGAGACGAAGGUGGUAAUAGAAAAUUGGAUUUGAUACCCAGAUAUCUUCCACAGUCAACGAUGAAUGGUAGUUUGCUAAUCGUUUUACAUUUAUGAUUAGCUUCAAAGUUAACACGUUAACCAUUCCGCCUUGCGAGUACGGUUGCCAAACUGAAACCCCCAAAAAUUAGUCGGUCUUGAAGCACAGCGGAGUGAAGCAU